rnacentral:rRNA from 1 species
GACGAACGCUGGCGGCGUGCUUAACACAUGCAAGUCGAACGAUGAUCUCCCGCUCGUGGGGGUCAUUAGUGGCGAACGGGUGAGUAAUACGUGAGUAACCUGCCCUUGUCUCUGGGAUAAGCAUGGUAAACCGGCUCUAAUACUUGAUACUACUUCCUUCCGCAUGGUGGGUUGAGGAAAGAGUGUUACUGGUUUUGUAUGUGCUCACUGGCUAUCAGCUUGUUGGUGGAGUAAUGGGUCACCAAGGCGACGACGGGUAGCCUGCCUGAGGGGCUGACCGGCGACACUGAGACCGACGCGAGGCCCAGACUCCUAAGGGACGGAGCAGUGGGGAAUAUUGCCGAAUGGGCGGAAGCCUGGUGAAGAGGCGCCGCGUGAGGGAAGACGGCCUUCGGGUUGAAAAACAAUUGCAGAAGGGACGAAGCAACAAGUGACGGUACCUGAAGAAGAAGCGACGGCUAACUACGUG